AUCUUGCGCAAUGGGCGAAAGCCUGACGCAGCCAUGCCGCGUGAAUGAUGAAGGUCUUAGGAUUGUAAAAUUCUUUCACCGGGGACGAUAAUGACGGUACCUCAAGAAUAAGCUCCGGCUAACUUCGUGCCAGCAGCCGCGGUAAUACGAAGGGAGCUAGCGUUGUUCGGAAUCACUGGGCGUAAAGCGCGCGUAGGUGGCUUUGCAAGUCAGGGGUGAAAUCCCGGGGCUUAACCUCGGAAUUGCCUUUGAAACUGCAAAGCUUGAGUACUGGAGGGGAUGGUGGAAUUUCUAAUGUAGCGGUGAAAUGCGUAGAUAUUAGAAGGAACACCGGUGGCGAAGGCGACCAUCUGGACAGUCACUGACACUGAGGCGCGAAAGCGUGGGGAUCAAACAGG
rnacentral:rRNA from 1 species